UCCUGUGCUAACCCGAGAGAUCGGGCGUUCACUUCGGUGACGCAGUGACAGGUGCUGCAUAGCUGUCGUCAGCUCGUGUCGUGAGAUGUCGCGUUAAGUCGCUGAACGAGCGAAACCCCUAUCCUUAGUUGCCAGCACGUCAUGGUGGGGACUCUAAGGAGACUGCCGGUGUCAAACCGGAGGAAGGUGGGGACGACGUCAAGUCAUCAUGGCCUUUAUGUCCAGGGCUGCACACGUGCUACAAUGCGGCGUACAAAGGGAAGCAAAAUCGCGAGAUCAAGCAAAUCCCAAAAAGCGUCGCUCAGUUCGGAUUGCAGGCUGCAACUCGCCUGCAUGAAGUUGGAAUCGCUAGUAAUCGCAGGUCAGCUAUACUGCGGUGAAUAUGUUCCUGAGCCUUGUACACACCGCCCGUCAAGCCACGAAAGCGGGGGGCGUCCAAAGUCGCUGAGCUAACCCUUCGGGGAGGCAGGCGCCUAAGAUGAACUCCGUGAUUGGGACUAAGUCGUAACAAGGUAGCCGUAGGGGAACCUGCGGCUGGAUCACCUCCUUUCUAAGGA
rnacentral:rRNA from 1 species